AUUUAUAAAGUUUAUAUUAAACAUUUCAUUUUCAUUGAAAAGAAAGAUUCAAAUUUUGUCUUGUAAAUA
rnacentral:tRNA from 1 species